GAUGAACGCUGGCGGCAUGCCUAACACAUGCAAGUCGAACGGGAAGUGGUGUUUCCAGUGUCGGACGGGUGAGUAACGCGUAAGAACCUGCCCUUGGGAGGGGAACAACAACUGGAAACGGUUGCUAAUACCCCGUAGGCAGAGGAGCAAAAGGAGAAAUCCGCCCAAGGAGGGGCUAGCGUCUGAUUAGCUAGUUGGUGAGGCAAUAGCUGACCAAGGCGAUUAUCAGUAGAUGGUCCGAGAGGAUGAUCAGCCACACUGGGACUGAGAGACGGACCAGACUCCUACGCGCGGCGGGAGUGGGGAAGAUGCCGCAAUGGGGGAAAGCUUGAGGGGGCAAUGCCGCGUGGAAGUGGAGUGGCUACGGAUCGUCGACUUCUUUUCUCGGAGAAGAAAUAAUGACGGUAUCUGAGGAAUAAGCAUCGGCUAACUCUGUG
rnacentral:rRNA from 1 species